UACGUAGGAGGCAAGCGUUGUCCGGAAUUACUGGGUGUAAAGCGCGUGUAGGUGGGAGGCCAAGUCUGUGGUGAAAGCGCCCGGCUCAACUGGGCAGAGUCCAUGGAAACUGGUCACCUGGAGGACGGUAGAGGCGAGUGGAAUUCCCGGUGUAGUGGUGUAAUGCGUAGAGAUCGGGAGGAACACCAGUGGCGAAGGCGGCUCGCUGGGCCGGUCCUGACACUGAGACGCGAAGGCGUGGGGAGCGAACGGG
rnacentral:rRNA from 1 species